rnacentral:rRNA from 1 species
CCUACGGGAGGCAGCAGUGAGGAAUAUUGCGCAAUGGAGGAAACUCUGACGCAGCCAUGCCGCGUGCAGGAAGACGGCCCUACGGGUUGUAAACUGCUUUUAUUUGAGAAGAAACCCUGGUACGUGUACCGGGCUGACGGUAUCAAAUGAAUAAGCACCGGCUAACUCCGUGCCAGCAGCCGCGGUAAUACGGAGGGUGCAAGCGUUAUCCGGAUUUAUUGGGUUUAAAGGGUGCGUAGGCGGGACAUUAAGUCAGUGGUGAAAGCCUGUAGCUCAACUACAGAAAUGCCAUUGAUACUGAUGUUCUUGAAUUUGGUUGAGGUAGGCGGAAUACGUCAUGUAGCGGUGAAAUGCAUAGAUAUGACGUGGAACACCGAUAGCGAAGGCAGCUCACUAGGCCUGGAUUGACGCUCAGGGACGAAAGCGUGGGGAUCAAACAGGAUUAGAUACCCUGGUAGUCCACGCUGUAAACGAUGAUUACUCGUUUUCGGCGAUAUACAGUCGGAGACUAAGCGAAAGUAAUAAGUAAUCCACCUGGGGAGUACGAUCGCAAGGUUGAAACUCAAAGGAAUUGACGG